GAGCCGUUAGCUCAGUUGGUAGAGCAGCUGCCUUUUAAGCAGCGGGUCGUAGGUUCGAUCCCUACACGGCUCA
rnacentral:tRNA from 2 species